GAUGAACGCUGGCGGCGUGCCUAAUACAUGCAAGUCGAGCGAACGGACGAGAAGCUUGCUUCUCUGAUGUUAGCGGCGGACGGGUGAGUAACACGUGGAUAACCUACCUAUAAGACUGGUAUAACUUCGGGACACCGGAGCUAAUACCGUAUAAUAUUUUGAACCGCAUGGUUCAAAGGUGAAAGACGGUCUUGCUGUCACUUAUAGAUGGAUCCGCGCUGCAUUAGCUAGUUGGUAAGGUAACGGCUUACCAAGGCAACGAUGCAUAGCCGACCUGAGAGGGGGAUCGGCCACACUGGAGCUGAGACACGGUCCAGACUCCUGCGGGAGGCAGCAGUAGGGAAUCUUACGCAAUGGGCGAAAGCCUGACGGAGCAACGGCGCGUGAGAGAUGAAGGUCUUCGGAUCGUAAAACUCUGUUAUUAGGGAAGAACAUAUGUGUAAGUAACUGUGCACAUCUUGACGGUACCUAAUCAGAAAGCCACGGCUAACUACGUG
rnacentral:rRNA from 1 species